rnacentral:rRNA from 1 species
CCUACGGGGGGCUGCAGUGGGGAAUAUUGGACAAUGGGUGCAACCCUGAUCCAGCCAUGCCGCGUGUGUGAAGAAGGCCCUCGGGUUGUAAAGCACUUUCAGUGAGGAAGAACGCCUGGUGGUUAAUACCCAUCAGGAAAGACAUCACUCACAGAAGAAGCACCGGCUAACUCCGUGCCAGCAGCCGCGGUAAUACGGAGGGUGCGAGCGUUAAUCGGAAUUACUGGGCGUAAAGCGCGCGUAGGUGACUUGAUAAGCCGGUUGUGAAAGCCCCGGGCUCAACCUGGGAACGGCAUCCGGAACUGUCAAGCUAGAGUGCAGGAGAGGAAGGUAGAAUUCCCGGUGUAGCGGUGAAAUGCGUAGAGAUCGGGAGGAAUACCAGUGGCGAAGGCGGCCUUCUGGACUGACACUGACACUGAGGUGCGAAAGCGUGGGUAGCAAACAGGAUUAGAUACCCCAGUAGUC